GAUACCUUUAAAGUCAGUCCUGUGAGGCUGGGAAGGUUGCACGGAAAUACAUGAGACUUACUGCGGUAAGAAUCACUGUAUGCUUUUUUCUGCACGUCUGCCCUCCUGUCUACUCUGACUGGAGGGUUUUUCUU
rfam:Sporosarcina newyorkensis 2681 genomic scaffold SCAFFOLD1, whole genome shotgun sequence.